AGUGAACGCUGGCGGUAGGCCUAACACAUGCAAGUCGAGCGGCAGCACAGUAAGAGCUUGCUCUUACGGUUGGCGAGUGGCGGACGGGUGAGGAAUACAUCGGAAUCUACUUUUUCGUGGGGGAUAACGUAGGGAAACUUACGCUAAUACCGCAUACGACCUACGGGUGAAAGCAGGGGAUCUUCGGACCUUGCGCGAUUGAAUGAGCCGAUGUCGGAUUAGCUAGUUGGCGGGGUAAAGGCCCACCAAGGCGACGAUCCGUAGCUGGUCUGAGAGGAUGAUCAGCCACACUGGAACUGAGACACGGUCCAGACUCCUACGGGAGGCAGCAGUGGGGAAUAUUGGACAAUGGGCGCAAGCCUGAUCCAGCCAUACCGCGUGGGUGAAGAAGGCCUUCGGGUUGUAAAGCCCUUUUGUUGGGAAAGAAAAGCAGCAGGUUAAUACCCCGCUGUUCUGACGGUACCCAAAGAAUAAGCACCGGCUAACUUCGUG
rnacentral:rRNA from 1 species